rnacentral:rRNA from 1 species
GGAACGCUGGCGGCAGGCUAUCACCUGCACGUCUGAGCGCGCCUUCGGGUGAGCGGCGGACGGGUUAGUAACGCGUGGGAACGUGCCCUUCUCUACGGAAUAGCCUCUGGAAACGGAGAGUAAUACCGUAUACGCCCUUUGGGGGAAAGAUUUAUCGGAGAAGGAUCGGCCCGCGUUAGAUUAGGUAGUUGGUGGGGUAACGGCCUACCAAGCCUACGAUCUAUAGCUGGUUUUAGAGGAUGAUCAGCAACACUGGGACUGAGACACGGCCCAGACUCCUACGGGAGGCAGCAGUGGGGAAUCUUAGACAAUGGGGGCAACCCUGAUCUAGCCAUGCCGCGUGAGUGAUGAAGGCCUUAGGGUCGUAAAGCUCUUUCGCCUGUGAUGAUAAUGACAGUAGCAGGUAAAGAAACCCCGGCUAACUCCGUGCCAGCAGCCGCGGUAAUACGGAGGGGGUUAGCGUUGUUCGGAAUUACUGGGCGUAAAGCGCGCGUAGGCGGAUUAGAAAGUUGGGGGUGAAAUCCCGGGGCUCAACCCCGGAACUGCCUCCAAAACUGCUAGUCUAGAGUUCGAGAGAGGUGAGUGGAAUUCCGAGUGUAGAGGUGAAAUUCGUAGAUAUUCGGAGGAACACCAGUGGCGAAGGCGGCUCACUGGCUCGAUACUGA